UACAGUACUCACAGAGAUGGGGAAAGCAAUGAAAAGCAUAAGGGGGACAAGAUCUACAAAAGCCAUACCCUACAAGCAAAAGAGCCUCUGACUACAUUAAAAGGAUUAAAAACCACAAUUAAAACUGCAGCUAAAGUCCUAUUGUACCUUCACAAUGGGACUCUGCCCACGCUACCCUCAGAUGAACUAGGAACCAAAGAGACACUGCUCCCAGAACACAGCAGCAUGGAAGCUGGAUGUGGUGGUCACACCAAGAAUGCUCAGAUAUGCAGGAGGCUGAAGCAAGAAGAAUGUAAACUUAAGGUCAGUCUAGGCAACUUGGUGAGUUCCUGUCUCAAAAUAAAACUGCAGAAAAGGGCUGAGGAUGUAGCUCAGUAGUAGUUACCUAGUCUGUGCAAGGCCCUAGAUAAAAUCUCUCAUACUGGGAUCCAAAAAAAAAAAGCAUUAUGGAGAGACUCUAAGAGUUCCUCCCUUUAGCCAAUAACUUUCCAAUAUCUAUGCCAGUGAAGAGGGGCUAAAGUGGGGGCAUUCCUCACUACAUAAAAUAACGAAAUGUCCCAAACACAAAGCAUAACCAUUCAAAGAGUAUUCAUACCCAUUAGCUGUCUUUAUAGGUAUUUGAUCUGCUCCCUCCCAGCUUUUAAAUGAGAACCUAUAGAUUAUCCAUCUGAUCUGGGGAAUGAAUGAG
rnacentral:lncRNA from 1 species